rnacentral:rRNA from 2 species
AGAGUUUGAUCCUGGCUCAGGACGAACGCUGGCGGCGCGCCUAACACAUGCAAGUCGAACGAGCGAGAGAGAGCUUGCUUUCUCGAGCGAGUGGCGAACGGGUGAGUAACGCGUGAGGAACCUGCCUCAAAGAGGGGGACAACAGUUGGAAACGACUGCUAAUACCGCAUAAGCCCACGGGUCGGCAUCGACCAGAGGGAAAAGGAGCAAUCCGCUUUGAGAUGGCCUCGCGUCCGAUUAGCUAGUUGGUGAGGUAACGGCCCACCAAGGCGACGAUCGGUAGCCGGACUGAGAGGUUGAACGGCCACAUUGGGACUGAGACACGGCCCAGACUCCUACGGGAGGCAGCAGUGGGGAAUAUUGCACAAUGGGGGAAACCCUGAUGCAGCGACGCCGCGUGGAGGAAGAAGGUCUUCGGAUUGUAAACUCCUGUUGUUGAGGAAGAUAAUGACGGUACUCAACAAGGAAGUGACGGCUAACUACGUGCCAGCAGCCGCGGUAAAACGUAGGUCACAAGCGUUGUCCGGAAUUACUGGGUGUAAAGGGAGCGCAGGCGGGAAGACAAGUUGGAAGUGAAAUCCAUGGGCUCAACCCAUGAACUGCUUUCAAAACUGUUUUUCUUGAGUAGUGCAGAGGUAGGCGGAAUUCCCGGUGUAGCGGUGGAAUGCGUAGAUAUCGGGAGGAACACCAGUGGCGAAGGCGGCCUACUGGGCACCAACUGACGCUGAGGCUCGAAAGUGUGGGUAGCAAACAGGAUUAGAUACCCUGGUAGUCCACACCGUAAACGAUGAUUACUAGGUGUUGGAGGAUUGACCCCUUCAGUGCCGCAGUUAACACAAUAAGUAAUCCACCUGGGGAGUACGACCGCAAGGUUGAAACUCAAAGGAAUUGACGGGGGCCCGCACAAGCAGUGGAGUAUGUGGUUUAAUUCGACGCAACGCGAAGAACCUUACCAAGUCUUGACAU